rnacentral:rRNA from 1 species
AUACGGAGGGGGCUAGCGUUGUUCGGAAUUAUUGGGCGUAAAGGGCGCGUAGGCGGCCGCGCAAGUCGGAGGUGAAAUCCCUCAGCUCAACUGAGGAACGGCCUCCGAUACUGCAUGGCUUGAGUCCCGGAGAGGGUAGUGGAAUUCCCAGUGUAGCGGUGAAAUGCGUAGAUAUUGGGAGGAACACCAGUGGCGAAGGCGACUACCUGGACGGUGACUGACGCUGAGGUGCGAAAGCGUGGGGAGCAAACAGGAUUAGAAACCCCAGUAGUCC